rnacentral:tRNA from 1 species
UCUUUUAUGGCAGAUUAGUGCAAUAAAUUUAAGAUUUAUAUAUAUAAUUUAAUUAUUAAAAGAA